rnacentral:rRNA from 1 species
AGAGUUUGAUCCUGGCUCAGGAUGAACGCUGGCGGCGUGCCUAAUACAUGCAAGUCGAGCGAACGGACGAGAAGCUUGCUUCUCUGAUGUUAGCGGCGGACGGGUGAGUAACACGUGGAUAACCUACCUAUAAGACUGGGAUAACUUCGGGAAACCGGAGCUAAUACCGGAUAAUAUUUUGAACCGCAUGGUUCAAAAGUGAAAGACGGUCUUGCUGUCACUUAUAGAUGGAUCCGCGCUGCAUUAGCUAGUUGGUAAGGUAACGGCUUACCAAGGCAACGAUGCAUAGCCGACCUGAGAGGGUGAUCGGCCACACUGGAACUGAGACACGGUCCAGACUCCUACGGGAGGCAGCAGUAGGGAAUCUUCCGCAAUGGGCGAAAGCCUGACGGAGCAACGCCGCGUGAGUGAUGAAGGUCUUCGGAUCGUAAAACUCUGUUAUUAGGGAAGAACAUAUGUGUAAGUAACUGUGCACAUCUUGACGGUACCUAAUCAGAAAGCCACGGCUAACUACGUGCCAGCAGCCGCGGUAAUACGUAGGUGGCAAGCGUUAUCCGGAAUUAUUGGGCGUAAAGCGCGCGUAGGCGGUUUUUUAAGUCUGAUGUGAAAGCCCACGGCUCAACCGUGGAGGGUCAUUGGAAACUGGAAAACUUGAGUGCAGAAGAGGAAAGUGGAAUUCCAUGUGUAGCGGUGAAAUGCGCAGAGAUAUGGAGGAACACCAGUGGCGAAGGCGACUUUCUGGUCUGUAACUGACGCUGAUGUGCGAAAGCGUGGGGAUCAAACAGGAUUAGAUACCCUGGUAGUCCACGCCGUAAACGAUGAGUGCUAAGUGUUAGGGGGUUUCCGCCCCUUAGUGCUGCAGCUAACGCAUUAAGCACUCCGCCUGGGGAGUACGACCGCAAGGUUGAAACUCAAAGGAAUUGACGGGGACCCGCACAAGCGGUGGAGCAUGUGGUUUAAUUCGAAGCAACGCGAAGAACCUUACCAAAUCUUGACAUCCUUUGACAACUCUAGAGAUAGAGCUUUCCCCUUCGGGGGACAAAGUGACAGGUGGUGCAUGGUUGUCGUCAGCUCGUGUCGUGAGAU